ensembl:miRNA mdo-mir-7386e mdo-mir-7386e
GCUUGGAUAAGGUCUUCUAUUUUGUGAGUUAGGCCAAAAUAAACACUUUAUCCUUGAGG